rnacentral:tRNA from 1 species
GCGGAUGUGGCGAAAUUGGUAGACGCACCAGAUUUAGGUUCUGGCGGGUAACCGUGGGGGUUCGAGUCCCUUCAUCCGCA